rnacentral:rRNA from 1 species
UACGUAGGGCGCAAGCGUUGUCCGGAUUUAUUGGGCGUAAAGAGCUCGUAGGCGGCUCGUUGCGUCGGCUGUGAAAACCCGCAGCUCAACUGUGGGCUUGCAGCCGAUACGGGCGGGCUGGAGUUCGGUAGGGGAGAGUGGAAUUCCUGGUGUAGCGGUGAAAUGCGCAGAUAUCAGGAGGAACACCGGUGGCGAAGGCGGGUCUCUGGGCCGAUACUGACGCUGAGGAGCGAAAGCGUGGGGAGCGAACAGG